rnacentral:rRNA from 1 species
CAGCCGCCGCGGGAAUACAGAGGGUGCAAGCGUUAAUCGGAAUUACUGGGCGUAAAGCGCGCGUAGGUGGUUUGUUAAGUUGGAUGUGAAAUCCCCGGGCUCAACCUGGGAACUGCAUCCAAAACUGGCAAGCUAGAGUAUGGUAGAGGGUGGUGGAAUUUCCUGUGUAGCGGUGAAAUGCGUAGAUAUAGGAAGGAACACCAGUGGCGAAGGCGACCACCUGGACUGAUACUGACACUGAGGUGCGAAAGCGUGGGGAGCAAACAGGAUUAGAUACCCGAGUAGUCCCUGUCUCUUAUAC